rnacentral:rRNA from 1 species
CCUACGGGUGGCUGCAGUGGGGAAUAUUGCGCAAUGGAGGGAACUCUGACGCAGUGACGCCGCGUAUAGGAAGAAGGUUUUCGGAUUGUAAACUAUUUUAGGCAGGGAAGAAAAAAGACGGUACCUGCAAAAUAAGCUCCGGCUAACUACGUGCCAGCAGCCGCGGUAAUACGUAGGGAGCGAGCGUUAUCCGGAUUUAUUGGGUGUAAAGGGUGCGUAGACGGGAGUCUAAGUUGGUUGUGAAAUCCCUCGGCUUAACUGAGGAACUGCAACCAAAACUGGAUUUCUUGAGUGCAGGAGAGGAAAGUGGAAUUCCUAGUGUAGCGGUGAAAUGCGUAGAUAUUAGGAGGAACACCAGUGGCGAAGGCGACUUUCUGGACUGUAACUGACGUUGAGGCACGAAAGUGUGGGGAGCAAACAGGAUUAGAUACCCCAGUAGUC